CCCCACCCCCCGUGGCGCGGGCACCCCAAUCCCUGCUGGUUAUGGGGCGGGGGGCACGCGGGUGGGGUGCUGGUGCUGCUUUCCGGCACGCUGAGGCUCCCCCAGGCACCGUUCCCGUGGAUAAUCCCAAAUAUUCGGGGAUUUUGGUCCCAUGGGGGUUGUCACCCUAAAAAGGCUUUGCUGCCCCGCAGGAGCUCUGAGGGGUUUGGGUUUAAAAAAAAACUAAAAAAAUAAUGAAAAAAGUGAAGGAACUUAUAGGAAAAACAGCACAGAAAUCCUACGCGCGCUGGGAGGCGUUCUCAAUAAAACAACAGGAGCCGUCUGGGGUUACUUGGGGCUUUUCUCCCUUUUUUUUUUUUCCCCCCUUCUUUAAUUUCAACCGCUAAUUACAAAGCGCAGGCCAGAGGCUCGGCGGCAGCGGGGCAGGCAAGGAGGAGACGUGCGCGCUGGGCGCGGAGAGGACGAUUUCCCCGAGUGCUCCUCGCGAAGCGACAGACAUCAAACGAGGGCCUGGGCGCCAGCACCGCGAGAGCUGCGGCGUCGCUGCCCGAGGAGUUCACAGGGGCCUGGAAAAAAAAAAAAAGUUACGGGGGAAACCGAAUGCCUUCGUUGGGGUUUGCCAGGUGAAACCUCCCCCUGCCGCCCCGCGGGUCAGGGACCGAAGGAACUGGGCUGGAGUCGUCAGCUGAAAGGCAGUAAAAUCAAGUGGAUUGAGCUCAGCCAAGGCACGCAGUGCAGGCGGGUGGACUUGUGGCCCUUCACCCUCCAGUAAGCAUCGCGGGGGAAACGCAAAGCCUCCGUUAUUUUAAUUGAGCUCGCCUCUUUGGUUGGAAGCUCAUGUUUUGGAAGCUUGCUUUUAGGUACAGAAACCCUCCAGAAACGAACCGUUUGCUGUUGUGCUGAAGGCAGAAGUUUGGGUUCUGUGGAUGAAGCUGGGGGGGUAUUAUUAGCUCUCCCCUGAUUUACAUGUGUGUAAAACUUCUUUCUUCCUGUAUCUGAACCGGUGUGAGAAACGUCGGAGGGUUGCAACAAGAAGCGUGUGUGUGAACGUACACGCACCCUUGCACGCCCGCGUGCGCUUCCCCCUGUCUUUAUGGGAUCCCUCUCUCCCAGCGCCGUACCCCUGUCCUUGCAGGGUCCCGAACACAAAGCCCCGAGA
rnacentral:lncRNA from 1 species